GCGAAUCCAUAUAUAUUAAAUUUAUUUUAAUAAUGGCGUCUCAAUAAAUGAGGGUGCCAUAUUAAAUAUUUAUGCAAAACAAAAUGCAUUCUUCUUAUCUGAUAUCUAUGGAUUCAUGCCAUCACGUUGUAAUACUGCAGAAGAAUGGGAUAUUGGUGAAGUACAUCAUGAUCACAGAGAUUUUAUUAUUGUGACGCUGGCAAACAGAUGGAUUCUCAUUGACUAUCACCGUUCACUGACGGUGAUAUCCAGAGCAUAUCCGGUAUUGUUAAAUUUCUAUUUUCAAAUACAUUAAUUUAAAGACUACAUCCUCAUAAUGAAUUGUUUACAACAUACUAAUUUUGGAAUAUGGCAGGUAGUGUAAGAAUUUCUUUUCUAAAUUUUAUCUUUAUUAUAAGACUAAAAUCUCUUUGCAUCAUCAUUGACUAAAUACUUCUUUUUAAUUAUAUUUAAUAUUGUGUAAUUAUUUAUCAAACAGAAUUAUUGUAAAACAAUAUUCUUUUUGUAGAUUAAUAGUAUUUCAUCUUCUUUUAUAUUAAUAUAUUGCACCCUGAGAACAUAAAUGGCACUAAACGAAAAUAUUAAUUUUAUAGUAUGGCCGUUUUAAGAUUUUUUAAGAAUUGAAAUGUGAUAUGGAAGUAAAAAAAUAUAAAUAAAGCUUUGUGAUUGGCUUAAAAUAACAGUUUAACUAACGCUGUUUCAGUAUCCAGUGGCAAACAAUAAAAUUAUUAAUUAUUUAUCAAUAGAGAAGCAUUUAAAAAAAAAGUUUAUCAUCGUGUCGGUUAUAGUUUUCUAGUUAUUCAAAACUUUUUGCUUAAUGACCUCCAAAUUAUUAUUUUACCUACAUUGUAAUGAUGAAAAAGAGAGAAAUAAAACAAUAUA